AUGCCGGAUCUCCCAGAUUACCUAAUACCAAGACUUAAGAUGCCUUUCAAGAAUGUAGACAAAACCUGGGAAUUUUAUAACCGAUACGCCAGGCACGCUGGUUUUGGCAUCAGGAAAGGGGGAAAUGAUAAUCACAAAUACUUUGUUUGCGCGUUUCAAGGGAAACACAAUCCUACUUGUUGACAAGCUGUCAGGAAGCGUAACAAAACAUCGCAGAGGACAGGCUGCAAUGCAAGAAUGAGGGUGAAGGUGCAAGAGGAUAACACUUGUGUGGUGGUGGACAUUGAAUACAAUCAUAAUCACCACCUCAUCCAAACUGCUGACAUGUUGGUAUUCUUGCACUCACACAAGAAUUAUGACCCCACUAUUUUGGAGUACGUAAAGCUCUUGUAGUACCAUGAUGUCAAACAUACAAGAAUAAUGUCCAUGCUAUCAGAAAAUGAAGAUGCAAGCUACUUCCUGAGCAUGACUAGAUGAGACCUACUAAACCAGAAAGCUAUCAAUGCAAGGAAAGAUGACUUGGAUGAUGUACUUGUAUCUUUCUUUAAAGACAUGAAGGCAAUCAAUGAUGAAUUCUUCUAUGACAUACAAGUAGACAGUGACAAUAUAAUAAAAAACAUUUUCUGGUCCAAUGCAAGCUCCCGAGGAGCAUAUUAAGACUUUGGCGACUGCGUAACAUUCGACACAACUUACAAGACUAACAUAUUUCAUAUGCCUCUGGGAGUGUUUGUUGGAACAAACCACCAUUUGUAGUCAAUGAUAUUUGUUGUUGCCCUGGUCAGAGAUGAAGAUGCAAAAUCAUUGAAGUGGCUCUUCGAUACAUUUGUACAGUGCAUGAACAACAAACACCCAACUUGCAUUCUCAUAGACCAGUGCCUGUCAAUGGCAAAAGCUAUACCACAAGCAUUCCCAAAUGCCGUCGACAAGCUAAGCCGUUGGCACAUCCUCAAGAAGUUCAAGGAAUACCUCACGUUGCUAUACAAAAAGUAUCCAACAUUCAAAGAGGAGUUCACAUCUAUCUUAAAUAGGCCGCUAAUGCCAACAGAGUUUGAAGCUACCUGGGCUACACUCGUGCUGAAGUAUAACCUGUAGAACGACCCGAUGAUGUUGCAGUUGUGGAGUGAUAGGAAAAUGUGGAUAUCAGCAUAUUACAAGAAAUUUUUCUGUGCUAGAAUGACUUCGACACAACGAAGCGAGAGCAUGAAUCACGUGUUGAAAAGAGGGUUUGUCAAGGGGACCCAAAACCUACACAAGUUUGCUAGGCGGGUAAAUGCUUGCAUACAAACUAGGUUGCAGAAGGAGAAUGAGCAACCGACGGCCAGCAUGGUAUUAAGACAAAAAAAGAAACCUCAUAUUCUGACUUCCUUGAACAUGUGCACUUGCUAUCUACAUAAAAAAUCAAUUACUCUGCUCGACUAA
rnacentral:rRNA from 1 species